rnacentral:rRNA from 1 species
AACGAACGCUGGCGGCAUGCCUAACACAUGCAAGUCGAACGAGACCUUCGGGUCUAGUGGCGCACGGGUGCGUAACGCGUGGGAACCUGCCCUUAGGUUCGGAAUAACUCCCCGAAAGGGGUGCUAAUACCGGAUAAUGUCUUCGGACCAAAGAUUUAUCGCCUUUGGAUGGGCCCGCGUUGGAUUAGCUAGUUGGUAGGGUAAAAGCCUACCAAGGCGACGAUCCAUAGCUGGUCUGAGAGGAUGAUCAGCCACACUGGGACUGAGACACGGCCCAGACUCCUACGGGAGGCGGCAGUGGGGAAUAUUGGACAAUGGGCGAAAGCCUGAUCCAGCAAUGCCGCGUGAGUGAUGAAGGCCUUAGGGUUGUAAAGCUCUUUUACCCGGGAUGAUAAUGACAGUGCCGGGAGAAUAAGCGCCGGCUAACUCCGUG